AGAGCGAACGCUGGCGGCAGGCCUAACACAUGCAAGUCGAGCGCCCGUAGCAAUACGGGAGCGGCAGACGGGAUAGUAACACGUGGGAACGCGCCCUUCGGUUCGGAAUAACUCAGGGAAACUUGAGCUAAUACCGGAUACGCCCUUACGGGGAAAGAUUUAUUGCCGAAGGAACGGCCCGCGUCCGAUUAGCUAGUUGGUGAGGUAAUGGCUCACCAAGGCGACGAUCGGUAGCUGGUCUGAGAGGAUGACCAGCAUCACUGGGACUGAGACACGGCCCAGACUCCUACGGGAGGCAGCAGUGGGGAAUAUGGACAAUGGGCGCAAGCCUGAUCCAGCCAUGCCGCGUGGAUGAUGAAGGCCUUAGGGUUGUAAAGUCCUUUUAACGGGAAGAUAAUGACGGUACCCGUAGAAUAAGCCCCGGCUAACUUCGCGCCAGCAGCCGC
rnacentral:rRNA from 1 species